CUGCUCUUCCAAAGGAGCCCAGGGCAGCAAGAUGAAGGUGCUGCCCCCUUCUGCUACUGUAUUUAGCUUAAUCAACACCAAACAGAGGUGCUGCACGCUGCUGGGUUGUUCUUUUUUUGGACUGAGGGAUCACGCUUCACAUUUGGGUGGGCUGCUAGACAUGGACCUUUUUGUUAGAAGGCCCAAUUGCCUCAUCUGGUUCAGAGUACCUCUCUGUAGCAUAGCUGCACCCUCUCCUGGACAUAGAGCCUGUCCACCAACAUCAGAAUUGAGAAUGCUGGUUUUGAUAUACUGUAUAAAGCCCUAAACAACUUGGGGGCUGCCUUAUUAUGGAGUCAGACCUCCAUCCCAUCUAGCUCAGUAUUGCAUGCACUGACUGGUAGUGGCUCUCCAGGGUUUCAAGCAGGGGUUUCUCCUGGCCCUACCCAAAGAGACCAGGGAUUGAACCAGGGACCUUCUCCAUGCAAAGCAGAUGCUCCUCCACUCAGCUGUGGUCCUUCUCUAACCAUUUCCACAUAAGGCUGCUCAGGUGCUAAAAAUCAUCCUCUCCAGUCCUGCUCUUGAUUCUCCUGACUUUUGAAGUGAAAUGCUGGCAGCGACAGAGGAUUUUCCAUUGUUGCCUCUGACUUUGAAGUUCCAUCCCAAAGGAGCUUCAUCUGCUCCCAGCAUCUUACUCUUCCCAGCACCAGGUAAAAACCUUAUUUUCCAAUGUUUUUAAUCUAUAAUUUUGUUUUACACUGUCUUGCUGUGGUUUUGUUUUAUGCUGUUCCUAUCCAUGUUUUUAUUAUCUUUUGAAGCUACUGUGAGAGGUUCAGCUAAAGUGCAGCUGAUAAGUAUUGCAAACUGGCAAGCAAAUAUUUAACAUCUAUAUGAAACCAGACGGAGAGUUUAUCCAGGGAUUUGGACUGGGGUGUUGUCAAUAUGCUGGUGACACACAGCUCACUCUCUCCAUUUCAUGAGCAUCCACAGUAGCUUUGGAGGUCUUUAAUUGGUGCCUAUAAUGAUGGAUUGGAGGCAGGCUAGCAAACAGGGUAAAGAUGCUGCUGAGCCAGGUUGGAGGUGUACAUCUUGUUUUGAAUAGAGCUGCACUCAUAUCAGUUUCAUUGUUUGGGGUGGGGUGCCCCAGGGUUACCAGGGGCCAGCUUUUGUACAACUUUGGCUGGAAUGCCAGUUGUUUCCUUUUCUUACUCAAGCAAACCUGAUUAUAGUCACAAAUGCCUUGGUUACAUCCUGGUUGGAUUACUGCAAUUUGGAAGCUUCACCUGUUAUAAGAUGUGACUGACCAACAUUUUG